CCUACGGGAGGCAGCAGUGAGGAAUAUUGGUCAAUGGACGAGAGUCUGAACCAGCCAAGUAGCGUGAAGGAUGACUGCCCUAUGGGUUGUAAACUUCUUUUAUAUGGGAAUAAAAUGUUCCACGUGUGGGAUUUUGUAUGUACCAUAUGAAUAAGGAUCGGCUAACUCCGUGCCAGCAGCCGCGGUAAUAAGGAGGAUCCGAGCGUUGGCCGGAUUUAUUGGGUUUAAAGGGAGCGUAGGUGGAUUGUUAAGGCAGUUGUGAAAGUUUGCGGCUCAACCGUAAAAUUGCAGUUGAAACUGGCAGUCUUGAGUACAGUAGAGGUGGGCGGAAUUCGUGGUGUAGCGGUGAAAUGCUUAGAUAUCACGAAGAACUCCGAUUGCGAAGGCAGUUCACUGGACUGCAACUGACACUGAGGCUCGAAAGUGUGGGUAUCAAACAGGAUUAGAUACCCCGGUAGUC
rnacentral:rRNA from 1 species